AAAAGUGCAAAAAAGCGUUAUAAAAAGUGCAAAAAACCGUUAUGUAUUCUAUCAAGGAUAACGAUUAAAACCGUUAUAAAAAGUGCAAAAAACUGUUAACUAUGAUAAAAAAAAUUCUAAUACAUAACGGAAAAAUCUUAAUACAUAACGGUGAAAAACCGUUAUGUAUUCUAUCAAAGAUAACGGUUAAAACCGUUAUAAAAAGUGCAAAAAACUGUUAACUAUGAUAAAAAAAAAAAAAAAAAUUAUUACAUAACGGAAAAAUCUUAAUACAUAACGGUGAAAAACCGUUAUGUAUAACCUUUAUAGAUAACGGAUGCGUACUGUUAUGUAUGACGCAUCGUACCGUUAUCUAUGCUACUAUACAUAACGGUUUUGAAACUGUUGUGUAUGACGUAUAGAAUAGAUAACACCACUAUACACAAC
rnacentral:lncRNA from 1 species